rnacentral:rRNA from 1 species
AACGAACGCUGGCGGCAGGCCUAACACAUGCAAGUCGAACGCCCCGCAAGGGGAGUGGCGCACGGGUGAGUAACGCGUGGGAAUAUGCCCUUCGGUUCGGAAUAACACAGGGAAACUUGUGCUAAUACCGGAUACGAUCUACGGAUGAAAGAUUUAUCGCCGAGGGAGUAGCCCGCGUAGGAUUAGCUAGUUGGUAAGGUAAUGGCUCACCAAGGCGACGAUCCAUAGCUGGUCUGAGAGGAUGAUCAGCCACACUGGGACUGAGACACGGCCCAGACUCCUACGGGAGGCAGCAGUGGGGAAUAUUGGACAAUGGGCGCAAGCCUGAUCCAGCCAUGCCGCGUGAGUGAUGAAGGCCUUAGGGUUGUAAAGCUCUUUCGUCCGGGACGAUAAUGACGGUACCGGAAGAAGAAGCCCCGGCUAACUUCGCGCCAGCAGCCGCGGUAA